UAGCUCAGUUGGUAGAGUGCUUGCCUUACAUGCACAAGGCCCUGGGUUCAAUCCCCAG
rnacentral:tRNA from 1 species